GAUGAACGCUGGCGGCGUGCCUAAUACAUGCAAGUCGAGCGAACAGAUGAGGAGCUUGCUCCUCUGACGUUAGCGGCGGACGGGUGAGUAACACGUGGAUAACCUACCUAUAAGACUGGGAUAACUUCGGGAAACCGGAGCUAAUACCGGAUAAUAUAUUGAACCGCAUGGUUCAAUAGUGAAAGACGGUUUUGCUGUCACUUAUAGAUGGAUCCGCGCCGCAUUAGCUAGUUGGUAAGGUAACGGCUUACCAAGGCAACGAUGCGUAGCCGACCUGCGAGGGUGUUCGGCCAAACUGAACCUGAAACCGGGCCCGGACUCCAAGGGAAGGCAGCGGUGGGGAACUUUCGGAAUGGGCCGAAGGCUGGACGGAGCAAGGCGGGUGGAGUGUUGAAGGUCUUCGAUCCGAAAACCUUGUUUAUUGGGAAAGAAAAAAUUUGAAGGUAACUAUCCCGGUCUUGACGGUCCUAAUCAAGAAAGCAACGCCUAACUAGGU
rnacentral:rRNA from 1 species